rnacentral:lncRNA from 1 species
GUGAAUCUUUUUUGCUGACAUUCUGAAAAAGUAUUGUGUAGUCCAUGUGUAAGUGUUGACUCUCAAUUUACACAUGUGAUUUUUAUACCCCCGCUUUAAAAAAAAAGGGGGGGGGGGUAUACUGUUUUACCUCUGUCUGUCCUUCCGUCAGUCCGUCCGUCCGUCCGUCCCAGAAUAUUUUUCGUCGCAUUUUUCUCGCAUUUUCUCAGGAACUACUACAAUACAAGGAUUUCUGAAAUUUGGUUUCAGGGUUUAUCUAAGUCAGCUAUACCGUGUGAUGCGUUUUCAGAUUGAUCACUUGACAACUUCCUGUUUACCGAACACUUGUAUGAUUUUACACAUGAUAGCCAAGUUGAAAAUUUUCGUCACAUUUUUCUCAGGAACUACAAUACAAGGAUUUCUGAAAUUUGGUUUCAGGAUUUAUAUAAGUCAGCUAUACCGUGUGAUGCGUUUUCAGAUUCAUCACUCGACAACUUCCUGUUUACCGAACACUUGCAUAUUUUUACACUAUUAAUAUUAUCCACUUGCGGCGGGGGUAUCAUCAGUGAGCAGUAGCUCGCAGUUUCACUUGUUUUAACAUUCCCCGGACUUCUGCAAAAAACAAUUAUUCAGUUCACUGAUUAAGAUGGAAGGUAACGACAACAGAAAGUCACAGGACAUUCCGACAAAAAGUUACAGGACAAAAAGUCAGACACAUGUCAGACUAGUCCAAAUAAUUAUGACGUCUGGCAAGGCUAUUUUAUUUUUUUUCUGGGACGCCUUCCUACGUCUCAGAAAAACGUCAUAAUUAUUUGGACUAAUGUCAGACAUAAAGUCACAAAGUUGAUAGGACAAAACAUGCAAAAAGUCACAAACAAUUUGUUGACAAUUGUUUGAAUAUAAACGAAAAAGAUUUUGAAAUAUCUUCUUUUUAUUACAUAUACUCAUUUUUGAUUUAAGGAAAUUAUUCAUAAUAUAAAAAAGAAGAUGAGGUAUGAUUGCCAAUAAAACAACUGUCCACAAGAGACCAAAAUGACACAGACAUUAACAACUAUAGGUCUUUACAGCCUUCAACAAUGAGCCAAUAUAAAAAAGAUGUGGUAUGAUUGCCAAUGAGACAACUGUCCACAAGAGACCAACAUGACACAGACAUUAACAACUAUAGGUCACUGUACGGAUUUCAACAAUGAGCAAGCCCAUGCUGCAUAGUCAUGAUAGUCAGCUGUAAAAGGCAAUCAUACCAUAACUUUUUUUAUAUAUUUACAUGUAAAAAAAUGCAUGCAAAUGUAAUCAAAAGCUGCACACAAACCUAAUGAUUUUUGUGCGCAAAUGUAAUGGUAAUGUGUGCAAACCUAAUGCACCGAUUUAAUUUGUUUUUAAUAAAUUUUAAUUACAUUUAAGUUGCUACAUCAUGUUCAUGUAUAAAACUUCAAGAAAAAUACAAAAAGAGUGUUUUCUUGUUCAAAGAAAAAUAAUCUCAAAACUGAAUUGUGACUUUUUGUCCUGUGACAAUGUGUGACUUUUUGACCGUGACUUUUUGUCCUGUGACUUUCUGUCCUACAUUCAGGUUGAAUAGGGGAGUUUGGUUGACCCUGUCUCCCUCUAUCUGAGACUUCUAUCUCAGUGAUGAGCUUUAUGUUUCAUGUAUUGUGCUUGUCAUAUAUGUAUGUGGGAUAAAAGCUCUACAGAGCUUAUGUUGUAUUGAUAUAUGUAUAACCGACAAUAAAUAAAUCUUUUUUGGUAGCCCCUAACAAGUAAGAAUUAGGUUACUUCUUUUUGUUUUGACAUCUUGCAAGGGUUUUUAUACCCCCGUUUUAAAAUUAUACCCCAACUUUAAAAAGGGGGGGGGGGGGGUAUACUGUUUUACCUCUCUCUCUGUCCAUCCAUCCUUCCGUCAGUCCAUCAGUCCGUCCGUCCGAUGAAUAUUUUUUUGUCCCAUUUUUCUCAGGAACUACAAUACAAGGAUUUCUGAAAUUUGGUUUCAGGGUUUAUAUAAGUCAGCUAUACCGUGUGAUGCGUUUUCAUAUUCAUCGCUGGACAACUUCCUGUUUACCGAACACUUGUAUGAUUUUACACAUGAUAGCCAAGUUGAAAGUUGAAAACUAACAACCUUAUUUAUGUACUAAAAAUUGAAGAACAGAUAUGUUACACAUAAACAAACGACAAUCACUGAAUUAUAGGAUCCUGACUUGGAACAGGCACAUCCAUAACAAAUUGGCAGGGUAUAAGGAACAUUGAAAAUGUUUAGUUUUUGUGGUUUGGUCUAUUUUCCGGAUACUGUAAGCAAUAAGGCCCCUUUAUUUAGUGAAUGAAAAGAUUGAAAGAUGCACAUGUCUGUCUGCCAUAUUUUAUAUGAACUUGACCUCAUUUUCAUGGUUCAUUGGGCAAUGAAACACUGCAUUGUUUUGUCAGUUUAUCAUAUAUGUUUAAAGUUACAGGUAGAUUAUAUUUGGUAAAUAUGAAACAAUUGUAAGGUGUGCAUGUCUGAAUGUCAGAUUCAUAUAACCAUGACCGCAUUUUAUGGUUCUUUGGUCAAUGAUAAGUUUUCUUGGUUUUGUCAUUUUAUCAGAUUUUCUAAGCAUAGGUCUACUUGUUGUUGUAUAGAAUGACUACAAGGUAUCAUAUAAAAAAGAAGAUGUCUGCCUGCCAGGGUUAAUUUUACUGUGACCUCAUAUUCAUAGAAUAAUGAUAAUAUUCAUGAUAUUGAACAGCAAGAAUGAUGAGUAAGUUGACGUUAUAUACAAAUAAGGCAAAAUUUUCAGUUGCCUACUAAUUAUGUAAUAGUAGUUAUUCCAUAUUGGUAUUAUUUUAGUAGGUUUCUCUAUACGAAUUGGAUUUUGAACAAAAAAAGCAUAUUCACCUGGGAAAGUGUUAUUCACCGCGCUUAACAUCAGGCGCUUUUACAUGCAACGUUAUGGUAAAAUGUUUCAUGUAAAAUUUGUUUUGGUAUAUGUUUUCUUCUCUCGGAAUAUGGAAUAAAACAAUUACUGGCUUUUGUUUCGGUAAAUAUGGGGUUUAAUUGACGCUUGAAAAACUGAUAUUCACUUCGGACAUCAGCCUCAGUGAAUAUCAGUUUUUCAAAAGUCAAUAAAACCGCAUAUUUACCUUAUCAAAAGACAGUAGUUGUAUAUUAUUUUUGUCAUUAAAUGAGGUUUACCCUUUUAUGUGUAGGGCAAGAAGCAAGAACAUUAAAGAUAAAGGCGAAACUAUAAACAGAAGAAAUUAUCAACAAAAUUAGAUUUACAGAGGUCAACAAAGCCUAAAUGGUAAGUCCACUGUUAUAAAAGUUUUUGUCCUUGAAUAAUGAUUAAAUACUUAUAAAAAUAAGAUGUGGUAUGAUGAAUGAGAAAACUAUCCAUCAGAGUUCAAUUUAGUGGAUGUAAGCAUUGUAAUUACUUAUUAGAGGCCAUUGAUGACCUGUAAGUAUAAAUGAGAAAACCCAUACCCUAUACAUGUUAUAGUAAUCUAUAAAAGACAACACUAACCAAAUUUGAAACAAAGC